rnacentral:rRNA from 1 species
AGUCGACGGGANUCCUUCGGAUUCUAGUGGCGGACGGGUGAGUAACGCGUAAGAAUCUAACUUCAGGACGGGGACAACAGUUGGAAACGACUGCUAAUACCCGAUGUGCCGAAAGGUGAAACCUAAUUGGCCUGGAGAAGAGCUUGCGUCUGAUUAGCUAGUUGGUGGGGUAAGAGCCUACCAAGGCGACGAUCAGUAGCUGGUCUGAGAGGAUGAGCAGCCACACUGGGACUGAGACACGGCCCAGACUCCUACGGGAGGCAGCAGUGGGGAAUUUUCCGCAAUGGGCGAAAGCCUGACGGAGCAACGCCGCGUGAGGGAGGAAGGUCUUUGGAUUGUAAACCUCUUUUCUCAAGGAAGAAGUUCUGACGGUACUUGAGGAAUCAGCCUCGGCUAACUCCGUGCCAGCAGCCGCGGUAAUACGGGGGAGGCAAGCGUUAUCCGGAAUUAUUGGGCGUAAAGCGUCCGCAGGUGGUCAGCCAAGUCUGCCGUCAAAUCAGGUUGCUUAACGACCUAAAGGCGGUGGAAACUGGCAGACUAGAGAGCAGUAGGGGUAGCAGGAAUUCCCAGUGUAGCGGUGAAAUGCGUAGAGAUUGGGAAGAACAUCGGUGGCGAAAGCGUGCUACUGGGCUGUAUCUGACACUCAGGGACGAAAGCUAGGGGAGCGAAAGGGAUUAGAUACCCCCUGUAGUCCUAGCCGUAAACGAUGGAUACUAGGCGUGGCUUGUAUCGACCCGAGCCGUGCCGAAGCUAACGCGUUAAGUAUCCCGCCUGGGGAGUACGCAUGCAAGUGUGAAACUCAAAGGAAUUGACGGGGGCCCGCACAGCGGUGGANNNNNNNNNUUUAAUUCGAUGCAACGCGAA